rnacentral:rRNA from 1 species
GACGAACGCUGGCGGCGUGCUUAACACAUGCAAGUCGAGCGGUAAGGCCUUUCGGGGUACACGAGCGGCGAACGGGUGAGUAACACGUGGGUGACCUGCCCUCCACUUCGGGAUAAGCCUGGGAAACUGGGUCUAAUACGGGAUGGGACCAUUCCAUGCAUGUGGGGUGGUGGAAAGUCGUGCUGUUGUGGUGCUGGCGGUGGGGAGU